rnacentral:rRNA from 1 species
CAGUAGCCGCGGUAAUACGUAGGUCCCGAGCGUUGUCCGGAAUUACUGGGCGUAAAGCGUGCGCAGGCGGUUGUGUAAGACAGGUGUGAAAUCCCCGGGCUUAACCUGGGAACUGCGCUUGUGACUGCACAGCUAGAGUAUGGCAGAGGGGGGUGGAAUUCCGCGUGUAGCAGUGAAAUGCGUAGAGAUGUGGAGGAACACCGAUGGCGAAGGCAGCCCCCUGGGCCAAUACUGACGCUCAUGCACGAAAGCGUGGGGAGCAAACAGGAUUAGAUACCCCUGUAGUCCCUGUCUCUUAUAC